rnacentral:rRNA from 1 species
UACAGAGGGUGCAAGCGUUAAUCGGAAUUACUGGGCGUAAAGCGUGCGCAGGCGGCGCGUUAAGACAGGUGUGAAAGCCCCGAGCUUAACUUGGGAAUUGCGCUUGUGACUGGCGAGCUGGAGUGUGGCAGAGGGAGGUGGAAUUCCACGUGUAGCAGUGAAAUGCGUAGAGAUGUGGAGGAACACCGAUGGCGAAGGCAGCCUCCUGGGCCAGCACUGACGCUCAUGCACGAAAGCGUGGGGAGCAAACAGG